UGCCCCUUUUCCAUUUCCAUGAAGCUCCGGUAUAAAGAAAUAUCGACAUUGAUAGUUAUUUGCAUGCUUUGCAAAAAAAACCGUGAUGUCUGUUUAUAGUUACGUAGCUUGAACGCUGCUGAACACCUGUUUCCUCGGAGCAGCUCCAUCCAGGUUGAGAUACAAGCUCUAGGGCCUUGCUGCUCAAAGUACGAGCCAUUGACCAGCAGCAUCCACAUCAUUGGGAGCUUGCUAGAAACACAGUCUUGCACCUCGCCCCAGAC
rnacentral:lncRNA from 1 species